AAAACAACUCUCAGCAACAGAUAUCUCGGCUCUCGCAUCGAUGAAGAACGCAACGAAAUGCAAUACUUGGUGGGAAUUGCAGAAUCUCACGAACCAUCUAGUCUUUGAACACAAGUUGCGCCCGGAAUCCUUUUGGCCGAGGGCACAUCUACCUGGGUAUCACACA
rnacentral:rRNA from 1 species